UACGAAGGGGGCUAGCGUUGCUCGGAAUUACUGGGCGUAAAGGGCGCGUAGGCGGAUAUCUAAGUCGGGGGUGAAAGCCCAGGGCUCAACCCUGGAAUUGCCUUCGAUACUGGAUAUCUUGAGUUCGGGAGAGGUGAGUGGAAUGCCGAGUGUAGAGGUGAAAUUCGUAGAUAUUCGGCGGAACACCAGUGGCGAAGGCGACUCACUGGCCCGAUACUGACGCUGAGGCGCGAAAGCGUGGGGAGCAAACAGG
rnacentral:rRNA from 1 species